GUUGAUAAGGUUAAGUGAAUAAGGGCGCACGGUGGAUGCCUUGGCACUAGGAGCCGAUGAAGGACGGGACUAACACCGAUAUGCUUUGGGGAGCUGUACGUAAGCUAUGAUCCAGAGAUUUCCGAAUGGGGGAACCCAACAUCUUUAAUAGGAUGUUACGAUUGUGUGAAUACAUAGCACAUUCGAGGUAGACGCAGAGAACUGAAACAUCUAAGUACCUGCAGGAAGAGAAAGAAAAUUCGAUUCCCUGAGUAGCGGCGAGCGAAACGGGAAAAGCCCAAACCAGCAAGCUUGCUUGUUGGGGUUGUAGGACUCCAAUAUGGUAGUUCUUUCAGAUAGUCGAAUGACUUGGAAAAGUCAGUCAAAGAGGGUAAAAACCCCGUAGACGAAAUGUGGAAGACACCUAGGAGGAUCCUGAGUACGGCGGAACACGAGAAAUUCCGUCGGAAUCCGGGAGGACCAUCUCCCAAGGCUAAAUACUCCCUAGUGACCGAUAGUGAACCAGUACCGUGAGGGAAAGGUGAAAAGCACCCCGGAAGGGGAGUGAAAUAGAACCUGAAACCGUGUGCCUACAACAAGUCAAAGCCCGUUAAUGGGUGAUGGCGUGCCUUUUGUAGAAUGAACCGGCGAGUUACGAUUGCAUGCGAGGUUAAGUUGAAGAGACGGAGCCGCAGCGAAAGCGAGUCUGAAUAGGGCGUUUGAGUAUGUAGUCGUAGACCCGAAACCAUGUGAUCUACCCAUGUCCAGGUUGAAGGUGCGGUAAAACGCACUGGAGGACCGAACCCACGUACGUUGAAAAGUGCGGGGAUGAGGUGUGGGUAGCGGAGAAAUUCCAAACGAACUUGGAGAUAGCUGGUUCUCUCCGAAAUAGCUUUAGGGCUAGCCUCGGAAUUGAGAAUGAUGGAGGUAGAGCACUGUUUGGACUAGGGGCCCAUCUCGGGUUACCGAAUUCAGAUAAACUCCGAAUGCCAUUCAUUCAUAUCCGGGAGUCAGACUGUGAGUGAUAAGAUCCAUAGUCGAAAGGGAAACAGCCCAGACCACCAGCUAAGGUCCCAAAAUAUAUGUUAAGUGGAAAAGGAUGUGGGGUUGCACAGACAACUAGGAUGUUGGCUUAGAAGCAGCCACCAUUUAAAGAGUGCGUAAUAGCUCACUAGUCGAGUGACCCUGCGCCGAAAAUGUACCGGGGCUAAACAUAUUACCGAAGCUGUGGAGUACACCUUUAGGUGUAUUGGUAGGAGAGCGUUCUAAGGGCGUUGAAGGCAGAUCGUGAGGACUGCUGGAGCGCUUAGAAGUGAGAAUGCCGGUAUGAGUAGCGAAAGACAGGUGAGAAUCCUGUCCACCGAAUGACUAAGGUUUCCUGGGGAAGGCUCGUCCGCCCAGGGUUAGUCGGGACCUAAGCCGAGGCCGACAGGCGUAGGCGAUGGAUAACAGGUUGAUAUUCCUGUACCCGUUGUUUUUGUUUGAGCAAUGGAGGGACGCAGGAGGCUAAGGAAUGCAGACGAUCGGAAAUGUCUGUCCAAGCAGUAAGUCUGAAGAGGAGUCAAAUGCUUCUUUUCUUAAGGACAAGCUGUGAUGGGGAGGGAAAUAAUAGUACCGAAGUUCCUGAUGUCACACUGCCGAGAAAAGCUUCUAGUGAGAAAACAGCGGCCCGUACCGCAAACCGACACAGGUAGUCGAGGAGAGAAUCCUAAGGUGAGCGAGAGAACUCUCGUUAAGGAACUCGGCAAAAUGACCCCGUAACUUCGGGAGAAGGGGUGCUGAUCAUACGAUCAGCCGCAGUGAAUAGGCCCAAGCGACUGUUUAUCAAAAACACAGGUCUCUGCAAAAUCGUAAGAUGAAGUAUAGGGGCUGACGCCUGCCCGGUGCUGGAAGGUUAAGAGGAGUGCUUAGCGCAAGCGAAGGUACGAAUUGAAGCCCCAGUAAACGGCGGCCGUAACUAUAACGGUCCUAAGGUAGCGAAAUUCCUUGUCGGGUAAGUUCCGACCCGCACGAAAGGCGUAACGAUUUGGGCACUGUCUCAACGAGAGACUCGGUGAAAUUUUAGUACCUGUGAAGAUGCAGGUUACCCGCGACAGGACGGAAAGACCCCAUGGAGCUUUACUGUAGUUUGAUAUUGAGUGUCUGUACCGCAUGUACAGGAUAGGUAGGAGCCGUAGAAAUCGGAACGCUAGUUUCGAUGGAGGCGCUGGUGGGAUACUACCCCUGCG
rnacentral:rRNA from 1 species